UAAUAGCUCACUGGUCGAGUCGGCCUGCGCGGAAGAUGUAACGGGGCUAAACCAUGCACCGAAGCUGCGGCAGCGACACUAUGUGUUGUUGGGUAGGGGAGCGUUCUGUAAGCCUGUGAAGGUGGCCUGUGAGGGUUGCUGGAGGUAUCAGAAGUGCGAAUGCUGACAUAAGUAACGAUAAAGCGGGUGAAAAGCCCGCUCGCCGGAAGACCAAGGGUUCCUGUCCAACGUUAAUCGGGGCAGGGUGAGUCGACCCCUAAGGCGAGGCCGAAAGGCGUAGUCGAUGGGAAACAGGUUAAUAUUCCUGUACUUGGUGUUACUGCGAAGGGGGGACGGAGAAGGCUAUGUUGGCCGGGCGACGGUUGUCCCGGUUUAAGCGUGUAGGCUGGUUUUCCAGGCAAAUCCGGAAAACCAAGGCUGAGGCGUGAUGACGAGGCACUACGGUGCUGAAGCGACAAAUGCCCUGCUUCCAGGAAAAGCCUCUAAGCAUCAGGUAACAUCAAAUCGUACCCCAAACCGACACAGGUGGUCAGGUAGAGAAUACCAAGGCGCUUGAGAGAACUCGGGUGAAGGAACUAGGCAAAAUGGUGCCGUAACUUCGGGAGAAGGCACGCUGAUAUGUAGGUGAAGCGACUUGCUCGUGGAGCUGAAAUCAGUCGAAGAUACCAGCUGGCUGCAACUGUUUAUUAAAAACACAGCACUGUGCAAACACG
rnacentral:rRNA from 1 species